ACCAUAAAUAUUUCCCUUCCUUUGUUAGAAGGAGAUAGGUGCACAUAAGAUUUGGAAAACAACUGACCUGCGAGUCGGUACUAGCAUAAGUAUAAAUUGAAGUAGUUUGAAAAAUAAUAAUCAGAAUAAAUUGACCACUGAGCGCAGAGCACCAUUUUUAAUCAUUUAUUUAAUUCGCGCGCAUAUUGGGAAGUUGCACUGUGGUAAACAAAGAAACUGCUGAUGAAAUAGAAAUUUUGUCAGACACUUCAGAUGGAGAAGAAGUGCCAGGAACCCAAAGUGACAUAUGCGGAAGCAAUUCAAGGCGUAAACAACUUGAUUCACUGGUUUAAAAAUGAAAACGAUGCAAAUCAGGUGUCAGACAUUUUGAAUGGUCAGAAAAUAUAUUGCAAAAGAAAAAAACAAAA